CAAUUGUAGAUCUUUGCGAUGCUAUGUUUGAUUUGGUUUGAUUUGCCUGGUCCCACUGGGCACGGCAGUCAUUCAGGUUCUGGUUUGGAGGCCGUUCUCAAUCAGGGACGGGACGGACCCCACGGGGUCCCUGAGGUUAUCUCAACACUUUCAUAAAAGGAACUACGUCGUGAAAAAAUAAUUUCAAGACUUGAAUAUUUUCAAUUUGAGUACAGAUUGCCUCUGCGAGGAACCCCUGCUCUGUCUUCUCCAUGGGGGGCCACGUUCACAACUCCCUGUUGACACAAGAUUCCGGAUCCUAGAAGCAGUCGCGUACAGGCACAACGGAAGCACACAGGUGGCUGGUUUUAAAGUAAAGAAACUGAGGCCCAGGGUGGGGGUUUCCAUGGGAAGAGCAAGUUUGCUGAAGACACUGCAUACGACUCUUGUUUGACUCGAGUUGUACCACCAUCGGUUAGAUGGAAUUAAAAGAUUUCUGACCCCUCAACCUUGAGAUCAUGAAGAAACUGAUUUGUUUGCUGGAGUCGGGGAUCUAGUUGAGUGUUAGGCUGCAGGACUUUCCUUAGUGGAAUUUGUCUUGUGGGACGUGAAGUUUAAAGUGGACGCUGGCCCUGAGCUCGGGGACGACUUCAGCAGCUUGUGCAAAGAGAACAGACACGUUUCCUCUGAGCCUUGUGGUUCCAUCGUAACAACCACGCCCGCUGUUUGAAAGCAGCCUGGGGAGGGGUCACUGCAGUCCAGAGGAACUUGGGCAACUCGGAAGCUCUCCAGCUUAGCACGAUGUCAAAACGAGGGCCACAAAGCCACACGUCCUCGGGGCAGCCUUUCCUGACCCAGUUAGGUCAGCUCGCUCUGCUCUAAGUUCUCCUAACUGUAUACAGUUCCUAGCACUUAGCAGUUGUAAUUGUGUGUUCAUUUUGUGAUUGCUUGGACGGGUCUGCCUCCCUACUAGACAGCGGGUGUGAAGGUGACACAUUGUGUUGAUUACGCUUUCCAUUCUAUUUAG